rnacentral:rRNA from 1 species
AUUGAACGCUGGCGGCAUGCCUACACAUGCAAGUCGAACGGCAGCACGGGAGCAAUCCUGGUGGCGAGUGGCGAACGGGUGAGUAAAGUAUCGGAACGUGCCCAGUCGUGGGGGAUAACGUAGCGAAAGUUACGCUAAUACCGCAUACGAUCUAUGGAUGAAAGCGGGGGAUCGCAAGACCUCGCGCGAUUGGAGCGGCCGAUAUCAGAUUAGGUAGUUGGUGGGGUAAAGGCUCACCAAGCCGACGAUCUGUAGCUGGUCUGAGAGGACGACCAACCACACUGGGACUGAGACACGGCCCAGACUCCUACGGGAGGCAGCAGUGGGGAAUUUUGGACAAUGGGCGAAAGCCUGAUCCAGCCAUGCCGCGUGCAGGAUGAAGGCCUUCGGGUUGUAAACUGCUUUUGUACGGAACGAAAAGGUUUGGCCUAAUAAGCUGAGCUCAUGACGGUACCGUAAGAAUAAGCACCGGCUAACUACGUGCCAGCCGCCGCAGUAA